CACGUAGGGGGCGAGCGUUGUCCGGAUUCAUUGGGCGUAAAGGGCGCGCAGGCGGCCCGGAAAGUCGGAUGUGAAAACUCGGGGCUCAACCCCGAGCGUGCACCCGAUACUGCCGGGCUUGAGGCAGGUAGGGGAGAUCGGAAUUCCUGGUGUAGCGGCGAAAUGCGCAGAUAUCAGGAGGAACACCGGUGGCGAAGGCGGAUCUCUGGGCCUGUCCUGACGCUGAGGCGCGAAGGCCAGGGGAGCAAACGGG
rnacentral:rRNA from 1 species